AACAACAUAACUCUAUUCUCUGCUCUCCAUCUCCACCUGUUCCAAACCAUUCCUUCCCAAUUUCUUCUACCUACAAGCUGCUAGUACUAAAAAUCCUCCCAAUUUUUGCUGGAAAUCACCAAAUUCAUUAAAGAAUUUAAGUUACAAACUGAUUUGGGGGAAGACUAAAGUCAAUAACAGUAAGGAAGGUAGUAUCCACCUAUCAUCAAAGCUAGGAUUUCAUUAAGCUUUGUUAUAAGUUAAGCCAUGUAUGUUUUGUUAAAUUCAUGAAUAUUGAAGUAAAUAAUGUCAUGUGAUUGCUGUGUUUUGUUGUGGGAGGUGAUAUGUUGGAGGAAUCAGGAGGAUUCUGGAGUGAUAAGGUUGAAAUUACAUGGGGA
rnacentral:lncRNA from 1 species